GCUGGGGUAAGACCCAGUCUUUUCUUGACUCUUCAAAGGUCUUGGAAUAAGGGGUGGGUAAGGACGGUGCCAGCCGCCGCGGUAAUACCGGCGCCUCAAGUGGUAGUCGAUUUUAUUGGGCCUAAAACGUCCGUCGCCUGUUUGGUACAUUCGUGGGUAAAUCAACCAGCUCAACUGGUUGAAUUCUGCGAGCACGGCCAGACUUGGGACCGGGAGAGGUGUGGGGUACGCUCAGGGUAGGGGUAAAAUCCUGUCAUCCUGAGCGGACCACCUGUUGCGAAGGCUCCACACUAGAACGGAUCCGACGGUCAGGGACGAAGCCUAGGGGCACGAACCGGAUUAGAUACCCGGGUAGUCCUAGGUGUAAACGCUGUGGACUUGGUGUUGGGAACUCUCCGAGAUUCCUCAGUGCCGAAGCGAAGGUGAUAAGUCCACUGCCUGGGGAGUACGGUCGCAAGGCUGAAACUUAAAGGAAUUG
rnacentral:rRNA from 1 species